GACGAACGCUGGCGGCGUGCCUAAUACAUGCAAGUCGAACGAAGCUUUCUUUCACCGGAUGCUUGCAUCCACCGAAAGAAGCUUAGUGGCGAACGGGUGAGUAACACGUAGGCAACCUGCCCAAAAGAGGGGGAUAACACUUGGAAACAGGUGCUAAUACCGCAUAACCAUGAGCAUCGCAUGAUGCUUAUGUAAAAGACGGCUUUUGCUGUCACUUUUGGAUGGGCCUGCGGCGUAUUAACUUGUUGGUGGGGUAACGGCCUACCAAGGUGAUGAUACGUAGCCGAACUGAGAGGUUGAUCGGGCCACAUUGGGACUGAGACACGGGCCCAAAUCCUACGGGAGGCAGCAGUAGGGAAUCUUCCACAAUGGGACGAAAGUCUGAUGGAGCAACGCCGCGUGAAUGAAGAAGGCCUUCGGGUCGUAAAAUUCUGUUGUCAGAGAAGAACGUGCGUGAGAGUAACUGUUCACGUAUUGACGGUAUC
rnacentral:rRNA from 1 species